UACGUAGGGUGCAGGCGUUAAUCGGAAUUACUGGGCGUAAAGCGUGCGCAGGCGGUUGUGCAAGACAGAUGUGAAAUCCCCGGGCAUCAACCUGGGAAUUGGCAUUUGUGACUGCACGGCUAGAGUGUGUCAGAGGGGGGUAGAAUUCCACGUGUAGCAGUGAAAUGCGUAGAGAUGUGGAGGAAUACCGAUGGCGAAGGCAGCCCCCUGGGAUAACACUGACGCUCAUGCACGAAAGCGUGGGGAGCAAACAGG
rnacentral:rRNA from 1 species